AUGAAAAGGCCCAAGCUUGGGGAAGCUAUGUUUGAUGAGGAUGACAUAUUUGAGAAUAUAUUUGCUGCAAUUAAUGUUUGUCCCAAGCUUGGGGAUGCUAUGUUUAAUAAUGAUGACAUUUUUAGCCUCUCAAGUUUUGAUAUGCAAAGUUGUUAUGAUGAUAGCAUGCCUUCUAAUUACAAUGAUUAUAUUGAUGAAAGUGGGUUUGGAAGAGUGUCAAAUUUAGGAAGUCUAUCUUGGAAGAGGUUUCAAUCGAUUAUGAUGAGAACAACGUUGCUACUUAUGAUGAUUAUUGUGAUAAAACUUAUGCUAUAA
rnacentral:rRNA from 1 species